rnacentral:rRNA from 1 species
UACAGAGGGGGCGAGCGUUAUUCGGAUUUAUUGGGCGUAAAGCGCUCGUAGGCGGUUUGGUAAGUCGGGUGUGAAACCUCCAGGCUCAACCUGGUGACGCCACCCGAUACUGCUAUGACUUGAGUUCGGUAGGGGAGCGGGGAAUUCCUGGUGUAGCGGUGAAAUGCGCAGAUAUCAGGAGGAACACCGGUGGCGAAGGCGCCGCUCUGGGCCGAAACUGACGCUGAGGAGCGAAAGCGUGGGGAGCGAACAGG